AUCCUUUUCUAGUUCAUAAGCAUGAUGAUUAGGUGUUCAUGCUCUUUGUGAGAUGUGCCUCCCUCAAACCUUGUUAUCACAUUGACAUAUUACUGGUCCGGCA